UAGCCUAGUGGUUAAGGCUAUGGAUUGCAAAUCCGGAGACGGCGGGAUCGAUUCCCGU
rnacentral:tRNA from 1 species